rnacentral:rRNA from 1 species
AUGCAGCGGCUGCUGGCGAGCUCGGUCGUGGCCGCCGCGCCGCGGUGGCUCCCCGUUGCCGACUCGAUCCUCCGGCGCCGCCGCCCGCGCCGUUCCCCGCUCCCCAUCAUGCUAUUCAACAGGUCUUGGUCCAAACCAAGGAAGGUUUCACGGAGCAUUUCGAUGGUGUCUAGUAAGGUGAACAAACAGGGGGAUCUCUGCAACGAAGGCAUGCUGUCUCAUAUUAUGUGGUGGAAAGAGAGAAUGGAGAGCUGCAGGAAACCAUCCUGUGUGCAAUUGACUCAGAGACUCGUGUAUUCGAACAUAUUAGGGUUGGAUCCAACUUUAAGGAAUGGAAGCUUAAAGGAUGGAACCCUGAACAUGGAGAUGUUACAAUUCAAAUCGAAGUUUCCUCGCGAGGUCCUACUUUGCAGAGUAGGAGAUUUCUACGAAGCCAUUGGGUUUGAUGCCUGCAUUCUUGUAGAGCAUGCGGGCUUAAAUCCUUUUGGAGGCUUGCGUUCUGACAGUAUUCCAAAAGCUGGAUGUCCAAUCAUGAAUUUGCGGCAAACAUUGGAUGAUUUGACUCGGUGUGGUUAUUCUGUGUGCAUAGUUGAGGAAAUUCAAGGCCCAACUCAAGCCCGUGCCCGGAAAGGUCGAUUUAUUUCUGGCCAUGCACAUCCUGGUAGUCCUUAUGUAUUUGGGCUUGCUGAAGUAGACCAUGAUCUUGAGUUUCCUGACCCAAUGCCGGUAGUUGGGAUUUCACGCUCCGCGAAAGGCUAUUGCUUGAUUUCUGUGCUAGAAACCAUGAAAACUUAUUCAGCUGAGGAGGGCCUAACAGAGGAAGCCAUAGUCACUAAGCUGCGUAUAUGCCGUUAUCAUCAUUUAUACCUUCACAGUUCUCUGAGGAAUAAUUCUUCAGGGACAUCACGCUGGGGAGAAUUUGGCGAGGGAGGGCUCUUGUGGGGAGAGUGCAAUGGAAAGUCUUUUGACUGGUUUGAUGGUUCUCCUAUUGACGAACUUUUAUGCAAGGUAAGGGAAAUAUAUGGCCUGGACGAGAAAACUAGUUUUCGCAACGUCACUAUCUCGUUGGAAGGGAGGCCUCAACCUUUAUAUCUUGGAACUGCUACUCAAAUUGGAGUGAUACCAACUGAGGGGAUCCCCAGUUUACCAAAAAUGCUACUCCCUCCAAAUUGUGCCGGGCUUCCAUCAAUGUAUAUAAGAGAUCUUCUUCUUAAUCCUCCAUCUUUUGAUGUUGCCUCUGCAAUUCAAGAGGCUUGCAGGCUCAUGUGCAGCAUAACUUGUUCGAUUCCAGAAUUUACUUGCAUACCAUCAGCGAAGCUUGUGAAAUUACUUGAGUCAAAAGAGGUUAAUCACAUCGAAUUUUGUAGAAUAAAAAAUGUCCUUGACGAGAUUAUGUUAAUGAAUGGAAACACUGAGCUUUCAGCUAUCCAGAACAAAUUGCUCGAACCUACUUCGGUGGUUACUGGGUUGAAAGUUGAUGCUGAUAUACUAAUUAAAGAAUGUAGAUUUAUUUCCAAACAUAUAGGUGAAGUGAUAUCUUUAGCUGGCGAAAGUGAUCAGGCAAUAACUUCAUCGGAAUAUAUUCCCAAGGAGUUCUUUAAUGAUAUGGAGUCAUCUUGGAAGGGGCGUGUGAAAAGGGUCCAUGCUGAAGAAGAGUUCGCUAAUGUUGAUGUCGCUGCUCAGGCAUUAUCAACAGCGGUCACUGAAGAUUUUCUGCCAAUUAUUGUAAGAGUAAAAGCCGUGAUGUCCUCGCAUGGGAGUUCUAAAGGGGAAAUCUCUUACGCAAAAGAACACGGGGCUGUUUGGUUUAAAGGGAGGCGACUCACACCAACUGUGUGGGCCAACACACCUGGUGAAGAACAGAUAAAACAAUUAAAGCCUGCGAUUGAUUCAAAAGGUAGAAGAGUUGGGGAAGAAUGGUUUACAACAACCAAAGUUGAGAAUGCUUUAGCCAGGUAUCAUGAAGCUUGUGAUAAUGCAAAAUGUAAAGUUCUAGAGCUAUUGAGAGGUCUUUCAAGCGAAUUACAGGACAAGAUCAAUAUCCUUGUCUUCUGCUCGACGUUGCUCAUCAUAACAAAAGCACUUUUUGGUCAUGUUAGUGAGGGUCUAAGAAGGGGCUGGGUGCUUCCUGCCAUAUAUCCCUUAUCUAAGGAUUAUAGUAUGGAAGAAAGCUCAAGCGAAAUGGAUUUAUUAAGACUCUUUCCUUACUGGCUUGAUACUAAUCAAGGGAAUGCAAUACUGAACGAUGUCAACAUGCGCUCUUUGUUUAUUCUGACUGGUCCAAAUGGUGGAGGUAAAUCCAGUAUGUUGCGAUCAGUCUGCGCGGCUGCAUUGCUUGGAGUAUGUGGCCUGAUGGUGCCAGCUGCUUCAGCUGUCAUCCCACACUUUGAUUCCAUCAUGCUGCAUAUGAAGGCCUAUGAUAGUCCAGCUGAUGGGAAAAGUUCGUUUCAGAUUGAAAUGUCAGAGAUACGAUCUUUAGUUAGUCGAGCUACUGGCAGGAGUCUUGUUCUCAUUGAUGAGAUUUGUAGAGGCACAGAAACUGCAAAAGGAACCUGUAUAGCUGGUAGCAUCAUUGAAAGGUUGGAUGAUGUUGGCUGCCUGGGCAUCGUAUCAACCCAUUUGCAUGGCAUUUUUGACCUGCCUCUUUCACUCAACAAUACUGAUUUCAAGGCUAUGGGAGCAGAAGUGGUCAACGGGUGCAUUCAGCCAACAUGGAGACUUAUGGAUGGUAUCUGUAGAGAAAGCCUUGCUUUUCAAACAGCCAGGAAGGAAGGUAUGCCUGACUUGAUAAUUAAAAGAGCAGAGGAGCUAUAUUUGACCAUGAGCAGAAGCAACAAACAGACAUCAUCAACAGCCCACCAUGGGCCUUCCGUUGGCUACUCCAAUGUAAAUGGCUUGGUUGGUAUGCCUGAUAGUCUGGGAAAUAUGUUCGAACCUCCAUCAGGUACUUUUGGACUGCUGCGAAAGGAUGUUGAGAGCAUUGUUACCGCAAUAUGCAAAGAUAAACUGUUGGAUCUCUACAACAAGAGAAGCAUCUCAGAACUGGUUGAGGUGGUCUGCGUUACUGUAGGUGCUAGGGAGCAACCGCCACCUUCAACUGUUGGCAGGUCCAGCAUCUAUAUCAUCAUCAGACGUGACAACAAGCUCUAUGUUGGACAGACGGAUGAUCUCGUGGGCCGUCUUGGUGCUCAUAGAUCCAAGGAAGGUAUGCAGGAUGCCACGAUAUUAUACAUCUUGGUUCCUGGCAAGAGCGUUGCCUGCCAACUGGAGACUCUUCUCAUAAAUCAGCUACCCUCGAAAGGUUUUAAGCUCAUCAACAAGGCAGAUGGCAAACAUCGGAACUUUGGUAUGUCUGUAACCUCUGGAGAAGCCAUGGCUGCGCACUGA